AAAUUGAAGAGUUUGAUCAUGGCUCAGAUUGAACGCUGGCGGCAGGCCUAACACAUGCAAGUCGAACGGUAGCACAGAGAGCUUGCUCUCGGGUGACGAGUGGCGGACGGGUGAGUAAUGUCUGGGAAACUGCCUGAUGGAGGGGGAUAACUACUGGAAACGGUGGCUAAUACCGCAUAACGUCGCAAGACCAAAGAGGGGGACCUUCGGGCCUCUUGCCAUCAGAUGUGCCCAGAUGGGAUUAGCUAGUUGGUGAGGUAACGGCUCACCAAGGCGACGAUCCCUAGCUGGUCUGAGAGGAUGACCAGCCACACUGGAACUGAGACACGGUCCAGACUCCUACGGGAGGCAGCAGUGGGGAAUAUUGCACAAUGGGCGCAAGCCUGAUGCAGCCAUGCCGCGUGUAUGAAGAAGGCC
rnacentral:rRNA from 1 species